GUAUUGUAUUGCGUUAAACGCGUCAUAUGCAUUCCACGAGACUUUGUUACAGGGUGUGUGUAAAGACGUAGGACCAUGACGGGAGGACAGAGUCCCCCAUGCCACAGAACUACAGAAGGUGCACAGGUGUGAGUGGAUGUGUAAACAGAGUGUGCACAUGCCCCCAUUUGAGGACCAGCAACAACUCGUGUUGACAAUUCGGUAAUGAUCCUUCCGCAGGUUCACCUACGGAAA
rnacentral:misc_RNA from 1 species